rnacentral:tRNA from 1 species
GCCUGGGUGGCUCAGUCGGUUGAGCGUCUGACUUCAGCUCAGGUCACGAUCUCACGGUUCGUGAGUUCGAGCCCCGCAUCGGGCU